AUGGCAGCAUCCACGGCGUGCUCUGACCACUGCCCUCUGCUCCUAGCCGACGCAGCUGCCCCCUCCGUCGCGCCAAAUUCAAAUUUGAAAGUUUUUGGCCACAGUUCCCGCGCUUCCACGAGACAGUUGGAUCAUGCCUGGAGCAGGCCGCUGCAGAGCAACUGCGCUUUCAAAGUUCUGUCGAUCAAGUUGGCGCGUACUACAAGAGACCUGAAGAUCUGGAGCUCCUCCCUCUUUAGUGAUGCUAAGCUCCAAUUCCACAUAGCUACAGAGAUCAUUCUGCGCCUCGACAUAGCCCAGGAGUCCCGCAACCUCACCACACCAGAGUUCAAUCUCCGUCGACUCCUCAAGCAACGGCUGCUCGGCCUAGCUGCGAUCGAGCGUGCGCGCAAGAGACAAGCCUCCCGGCUAACCUGGCUCAAGCUGGGCAACGCGGGAACCAAAUUCUUCCAUGCAAAGAUGCGAUCACGACGAAGGAAAAACUUCAUCCACAUCCUGCAAACGAGCAACGGGAUCGCCACGUCACACGAGGACAAAGAGGAAGUCAUCUUCGAGCACUUCAGCUCCUUCCUCGGCUCCAAAGGAGCCCGGACUCGAGCUAUCGACUGGAGGCAGCUACAACUGCCGGCAAUAAGAGGAGGAGGCCUCGACAACCCAUUCUCUGAAGCAAAAGUUUGGGAGGCGAUCAAGGCCUCGCCAGCAGAAAAAGCCCCGGGUCCGGACGGAUUCAUAGGAGUUUUCUUCCGUAGUUGUUGGCAAACUAUCAAACACGACAUCAUGAAGGUUUUCCACCAGUUCUACUACAUUACCGGCGACAAUCUUGCUACACUCAACUCCGCCCUGGUAGUCUUGAUCCCAAAAAAGGAUGGUGCGGCAACAGUUUCAGACUACAGGCCAAUCAGCCUAGUUCACUCCAUAGCUAAUGAAGGAAAUAUGCCCUAG
rnacentral:rRNA from 1 species